AGACGAGGACGAAAAACAGUGCAGAGCAAUUCAUAUGAAUUCGCUCGCCCGCAAACAGAGUGCGCGCAAAGCCGAAGACGAAGAUGAAGACGAAACGCAAGCAAUUCGCUUCAAACGGUGCUGUACUGAUUUUGAAGACGAAUCGCUUGCUAUUUUGCCUUUGCUGUUAUUUUUCUUUCUUCUUUUUCUUCUUUUUUUUUUUUGUUAUGUUGUACCCAUGCUUUUUGCUUGUUACUUGUGAUUUUCUCAACGCACACGUGUUUUUAAAAUGUCAAUUAUAAACGAAGAAUUGAUUGCAGCUGUGUUUAAAAACUUUGUUUAUGGGAUCAGCAACAUAAACUUUACCACAAUAGGCAUAUUGUUGAUCAAAAUUGGAAUGAUAUUUCAAAGGAAUUGAAUGUUGAUGAUUUCUUCUGGCGUAUGGUCGAAGAACCCAGUCCAAAAGAGGAUAAGCUUCAUCCGCAAGCAACACAUA